CAAAUACUCCCUCCGUCCGGAAAUACUUGUCAUCAAAAUAAAUAAAAGGGGAUGUAUCUAGAUGUAUUUUAGUUCUAGAUACAUUCCUUUUUGUCCAUUUUGAUGAUAAGUAUUUUCGGACGGAGGGAGUAGAAU
rnacentral:pre_miRNA from 1 species